rnacentral:rRNA from 1 species
UACGAGGGGGGCAAUUGUUGUUCGGAAUUACUGGGCGUAAAGGGAGCGUAGGCGGGCUCUUAAGUUGGAUGUUUAAAACCGGGGCCUAACCCCGGCGUGGCAUCCAAAACUGGGAGUCUUGAAUGGGACAGAGGCCAGUGGAAUUAGAGGUGUAGCGGUGGAAUGCGUAGAUAUCUCUAAGAACACCAGUUGCGAAGGCGGCUGGCUGGGUCCACAUUGACGCUGAGGCUCGAAAGCGUGGGGAGCAAACAGG